rnacentral:rRNA from 1 species
GAUGAACGCUAGCGAUAGGCUUAACACAUGCAAGUCGAGGGGUAACGUGUUGGAAGCUUGCUUCCGAUGACGACGACCGGCGGAUGGGUGCGUAACGCGUAUGCAACUUGCCUCACAGUGGAGAAUAACCCGGAGAAAUCCGGACUAAUACUCCAUACUCUCUUAAGUACGCCUGUACAUGAGAGGAAAGAUUUAUCGCUGUGAGAUAGGCAUGCGUCCUAUUAGGUAGUUGGUGAGGUAACGGCUCACCAAGCCGACGAUAGGUAGGGGUGCUGAGAGGCAGAUCCCCCACAUUGGGACUGAGACACGGCCCAAACUCCUACGGGAGGCAGCAGUGAGGAAUAUUGGUCAAUGGAGGAAACUCUGAACCAGCCAAGUCGCGUGAAGGAAGAAUGUCCUAAGGAUUGUAAACUUCUUUAGCGAGCGAGUAAGGACUUCCACGUGAUGGGAGUUUGAAAGUAGCUCGAGAAUAAGAAUCGGCUAACUCCGUG